rnacentral:rRNA from 1 species
GCCCUACGGGGGGCUGCAGUAGGGAAUAUUGCACAAUGGGCGAAAGCCUGAUGCAGCAACGCCGCGUGCACGAUGAAGGCCUUCGGGUCGUAAAGUGCUUUUCGGGGAGAUGAGGAAGGACAGUAUCCCCGGAAUAAGUCUCGGCUAACUACGUGCCAGCAGCCGCGGUAACACGUAGGAGGCAAGCGUUAUCCGAAUUUACUGGGCGUAAAGCGCGUGCAGGCGGUUCGGUAAGUUGGAUGUGAAAUCUCCCGGCUCAACUGGGAGAGGUCGUUCAAUACUGUCGGACUAGAGGAUGGUAGAGGGAGGUGGAAUUCCCGGUGUAGUGGUGAAAUGCGUAGAUAUCGGGAGGAACACCAGUGGCGAAAGCGGCCUCCUGGACCAUUCCUGACGCUCAGACGCGAAAGCUAGGGGAGCGAACGGGAUUAGAUACCCCAGUAGUCA